rnacentral:lncRNA from 1 species
UAAGACGCUGAGAGCAUUGCACAACCUUAGUCAGAAGUAAUGGGCUUGGAAGCUCCUUGCUGUAGUCGUGGUGAUUUGGAAUGUCCUUUGACCCUCUACUGGAUUUAAUGCCAAUGGAGAGAAAAUGAAAGGAUACAAGGGGAAACACUUCUUAACUUACAAAUGCUUGACUGGAAUGACAUAUUUUAAAAUAUGACCAGACAACUUUGAGAAACUAAGGUAAACUUCAGAAAGGCAAGAAAGCGCACCUUGGAGAAACUGGUCUCAUACCUUGAGCACAUGGUUCACGUGACUGCUUUACAGGACAAACCGUGCAGAAAUACAAGGCAUGACAAUCAUAAGUCUUUCUUCAAGAAAUCCAAAGUAAUGACUUUACUGCUCCAUCCUGCAAUCAACAGAUACUCAGAAACAGCCCAAAGAUGAAUUACUUAGCUAAUUCUUUGGUAUUUUCUCGCAAUCCUCUUUUUCAUUGUACAUUUCAUUUUUUAACAGCCAUUGGUACUGAAACUUAUGUUUGCAAAAGCAAGAGAGUUGAUUAAUAGGUAUUUUAUACAUCUGGUAUUUUCUCAUAAAAGACUAGAAAACUUAUUUCAAUUAUCAUACCACCAACAAGGAUGCAAUCUGUUCACAAGGCCUGUUUACGAGUGGCUGCUUUGGGUAAUGGCUGUUUUCUUAGCAUGGGAAAUGAAAUAUAAUAUUAUUAAGCAGAGAUAUGCAAAAUGAAGUGUCAACUUAUCCAUCUUCCUGAUGUUUAUAGGCUUCAUUUUUUAGAAUGUUUAUUUUAUUUUAUGGGACCACACGUUAAAAUACCUCCUAUUUCAAAGGAUCUAAUUUCUUUUAUUCCGAUUUUAAUGUCCUUGAAUAUUAACAUUCUCAAACUUGUAAGCAAUCAGCUAAGGAAAUCUGUGGUAGGUACUUUAUUAAUUCCAUUUAGAUAAAUGUAUCAUAAUGGGAGAGACAAUAAAAAUGAACACUUUAUCUUUGCCUGAGAAAAAGAACUGGUCUUUGCCAGAAGGAUGGCAUAAAUGAUUUUCACUUUUAGAGGCCACCUGUGAUAAAAUGGGGGAAGGGGUGGCGGUUGGUAGAAAGCAAACCUCUAAUAAUAAUGAGUGUGUGCGUGUGUGCAUGUGCAUGCACGUGUGUGUGUGUGUGUGUGUGUGUGUGUUCAGGAGGGAGAGGGGUUGUGAAUCAAGGCACUGUAAUGGAAAUAAUAAAUCAAUUUUGAAGAGCUUGAGUAAGAUCAUUGGAAAAGUCUAGCUAUAUCUGUUUUUGGCUAAGUGUGGCUCCUUCGUUAUUUCACUAAAUUUCAUUAUCUCUGCAAGGAGUGGAAGUGAGAAAGAAUAAACUUUGUAAAAAGGUAAAUAUCACCACUUAUUUAAUUAUCAUUUCUAUUAUUUUCCCAGGAAGGCAUCCUACUAAUAAAUGGACCUACCUGCAGAUAAAGGAAAGGAAAUCAUAUACUAAAGGAGGAGGAUAACUUUAAACAGUAUAGAUUAUAGAACUCUACAAAGCCCUCUUGCAAAAUAUAUUAAAUUCCUUUAUAUGAGGAAAAGGAAUAUUAACACUGGCAAGAUAUAUACUGGGGUGUCC